CGUAAGCGCGCGUAGGCGGUUUUUUAAGUUCCUGAUGUGAAAGCCCACGGCUUCAACCGUGGAGGGUCAUUUGGAAACUGGAAAACUUGAGUGCAGAAGAGGAAAGUGGAAUUCCAUGUGUAGCGGUGAAAUGCGCAGAGAUAUGGAGGAACACCAGUGGCGAAGGCGACUUUCUGGUCUGUAACUGACGCUGAUGUGCGAAAGCGUGGGGAUCAAACAGGAUUAAAUACCCUGGUAGUCCACGCCGUAAACGAUGAGUGCUAAGUGUUAGGGGGUUUCCGCCCCUUAGUGCUGCAGCUAACGCAUUAAGCACUCCCCCCGGGGAGUACGACCGCAAGGUUGAAACUCAGAGGAAUUGACGGGGACCCGCACAAGCGGUGGAGCAUGUGGUUUAAUUCGAAGCAACGCGAAGAACCUUACCAAAUCUUGACAUCCNCUGACCCCUCUACACAUACAGUUUUGCCCUNCGGGGGACAGAAUGACAGGUGGUGCAU
rnacentral:rRNA from 1 species